rnacentral:SRP_RNA from 1 species
ACCGGGCGUGGUGGUGCGUGCCUGUAGUCCCAGCUACUCAGGAGUCUGAGGUGGGAGGAUCACUUGAGCCCAGGAGUUCUGGGCUGUAGUGAGCUAUGCUGAUUGGGUGUCCCCACUAAGUUUGGCAUCAAUAUGGUGACCUCCAGGGAGCAGGAAAACACAAGAUUGCCUAAGGAGGGGUGAACCGGCUCAGGUCAGAAACGAGCAAGUCAAAACUCCUGUGCUGAUCAGUAGGGGGAUAGCACCUGUGAAUAGCCACUGCACUCCAGCCUGGGCAACAUGGCAAGACCCAGUCUCUA